ensembl:lncRNA
CCCCAAAAUGUCACCAAAUGUCCCCAAAAAGUCCCAAAUAUCCCCAAUUGUCCCCCAAAAUGUCCUCAAAAAUGUCCAAAAUGUCCCCAAAACGACCCCAAAAUGUCCCAAAUGUCCCAAAAUGUCCCAAAUAUCCCAAAUGUCCCCAAAAAUGUCCCAAAUAUCCCCCAAAAUGUCCCCAAAUGUCCCCAAAGUGUCCCCAAAUGUCCCAAAAAUGUCCCAAUUGGCCCAAAAUAUCACCAAACGUCCCCCAAAAUGUCCCAAAAUGUCCCCCAAAAGUCCCAAAUAUCCCCCAAAAUGUCCCCGAAUGUCCCCAAAGUGUCCCAAAUGUCCCAAAUAUCCCACAAAAUGUCCCCAAAUGUCCCAAAAAUGUCCCCAAAACGUCCAAAAUAUCCACAGUUGUCCCCAAAAAUGUCCUCAAAAAUGUCCCAACUGUCCCCAAAACGACCCCAAAAUGUCCCAAAUAUCCCAAAUGUCCCCCAAAAUGUCCCAAAUAUCCCCCAAAAUGUCCCCGAAUGUCCCCAAAGUGUCCCCAAAUGUCCCAAAAAUGUCCCAAUUGGCCCAAAAUAUCCCCAAAUGUCCCCAAGAUGUCCCAAAAUGUCCCCCAAAAAGUCCCAAAUAUCCCC